GUUGAGAAUAAAUACACAGCAGAGAAACUUUGAACCCAAAAAAAAAAAACGAAACUUUGAAGUUGCUCCAAAGGAAAGGAAAGCUCACCAGAAGAAAUUGCAAAGAGAGGAGAAAAAAAGAAUCUUAUGGAGUUCCCUCCGCCCCCGGAGAGAUCAAAGCGCCUCCACAACUUCACCUUACCUUAUCUCCGAUGGGGUCACCAGAGAUUCCUCAAGUGCGUCAAGCUCCCCUCUUCUUCUUCUCCCGAUCACAGAUCUCCCGCUGUUGACGGGAAGCUAAGGCUCGAUCCACCAAAGGUCUCGACUUUGGGGAACGGAGGAGGAGGCGAUGCAGCAGCAGCUCGGCCGUGGAAUCUGAGGACGAGGAGAGCUGCUUGCAACGAGCCGGGAGACGAGGAGGCCACGAGGAUCACUGGCGUCGUCGUCAAGAGAGGAGGUAGUCACGAAGGAGAUUCAUCGCCGCAGAAGAAAUUGAAAUUCUCUGUUGCUUUGUUGAGAGAAGAGAUCGAAGAUGAUUUCACUGCCUUCGUUGGCAAAAAGCCUCCUCGUAGGCCCAAGAAGAGACCAAGAACUGUUCAGAAGCAAAUGAAUACUCUUUUUCCCGGAUUGUGGUUAGCUGAAGAAGUAACAGCAGGCUCUUACGACGUCCCUGAGGCUGCUGCUGAAACAUGAUCAAAGAAUUUGAUUGUGGUUCAUAGAGAAAUCCUGAUGGUGAUAUCGUCGCCUCAAGGCUGGAAACUGGAGGUGUAACUUUAGGUGUUUGCUACAAGAUGAAAACAGGAGGAACGCAAACUCGCGGGUCCUUUUCAGGAUGAUGAUGGAGAUUAUUUGAUCAGGAAUGACUGAGCUGUGUAUCAAAUCUAAAUCAUGACAAAAAUGUACAAUUAUGACUGAGCUGUGUAUCACAUGAUCUAAAGCUUUAAUAAUAAUAAGGAAUGAUCGAUCUAAGAAAAGCAAUGAGGCAGAGUUUAGAUACGGAAUCAACAUACACGAUGAGUUUAAUGUAACAGGAACAUACACACUCCGUUGUAUUUCUCUUGGUUUAUAAAACUAUUUUUGAGUCUUGUCUUUUGUGAAACAGUUUUUGCCAUUUAUAGAAGAAAUCUAUAAAACAUACAACCUUAUCCUCUUACCCAACUUAAUAUUCUCUCUCUCUCUAUCAAAAUCAUUGAACCUCAAAUUCUUCAAGGUGUCCUUUGAAGUCAUUUUCUAUACUGAUUUUCACCUCGUCGUCUUCGAUCCUCGGUGGAUUCUAGAAAAGGUUUUAUCUUUUCCUGUUUCAUUUGAUCGGGAUAAAGUUUACGACAACUAAUCGUGAAAAGACACCUGUAGAGGGAUAAGAUUACUUCAUAUACGAUAAAAGUCAUUUGAUUCAAUCCGAACCGUUUAAAUAUGCUGACGUGUAUCUGCUGACGUGGAUAAAAACCACGUUUUGCAAUCACGUGAUUCGCGUGACCGUGUCUUAACGAGCGACCACCACCACCAAGGCGGAGAACAAUUCGGGAAGGCCUUAUUCUUACCGUCGCUCUCUCUCUCUUGUUUGCGUGUUGUCUUUUUGGAUAAACCCUAGAUCAAGUCAGAAUCUGAGAGAGCCCUCCCCCCAUUGGAAUACAGUUUCUCUCGAGGUAUCAAGAUUUUUUUUUAAAAAAGCCCUAAAAUUGAUCGUAUCAUUCGAGAACGAAGCGUCUGGAUUGUGAGAGGGAAACACUCUUUAUCUUUUCGAAAGCCUUAAAGAUCUGAGACAGAACAAGGUCGGUGGCUAAGGUAAGGCCAAGUUCUAUGCCAAUGUCGAGCAAAACCAUGAACAUGCUGGAAGGUUUGGUUAAAGACUCUUCUUUCAAAUGGCUGCUCGGUAAA